rnacentral:lncRNA from 1 species
CGGGUACAUGCGCUCUAAUGGGGUCAUUUCAUCUCUAAGAACACAUUGUUACCGUCUGAGACCUGGACAUAAUUGAAAAUCCUUUUCUAACAGGUGAAACGUAUAAAAAAAUGUAUUAUAAGCGAAUAGGUAACGAAUAGGUAACGAAUAGGUAACAGGGUAUUAACCGAGCGCUGGAACGGGUACAUGCGCGCUAAUAGGGUCAUUUCAUCUCUAAGAACACAUUCUUACCACCAGAGACCUGAACACAAUUAAAAAACGAUUUAUUUCAAGGUGCACCGUAUACCCCGCGCAUUAAAAGCGAAUAAGUAACGAAUAGGUAACAGGUUAUUUACCGAGCGCUGGAACGGGUACAUGCGCUCUAAUGGAGUCAUUUCAUCUCUAAGAACACAUUGUUACCACCAGACAUGAACACAAUUAAAACACGAUUUAUUUCAAGUUGCAGCGUAUACCCCGCGCAUUAAAAUCGAAUAGGUAACGAAUAGGUAACAAGAUUAUUUACCGAGCACUGGAACGGGUACAUGAGCGCUAAUAGGGUAAUUUCAUCUCUAAGAACACAUUGUUACCACCUGAGACAUGGACAUAAUUGAAAAUCCUUUUCUAACAGGUGAAACGUAUAAAAAAAUGUAUUAUAAGCGAAUAGGUAACGAAUAGGUAACGAAUAGGUAACAGGGUAUUAACCGAGCGCUGGAACGGGUACAUGCGCGCUAAUAGGGUCAUUUCAUCUCUAAGAACACAUUCUUACCAC